GAAUUUAUGAAUCUCUGAAUAUUUGAUUGUGACUAAAGGAGAGCAACAAUUGCAACAGUGUCACGUCGAUCUAUCAAAUGAACGAACUUUUGAAGAAUCCAAUAUUUGCAACACAUGCAGUUGUUGCUGCAGGAUCUGCUACAUUAGCCACUGCUAUCAGUUACCCUCUAGAUAGUCUUAAGGUCCUUGUACAGGUGGGAUCAGGUAGCAGUAAACAACUCACUGGUG
rnacentral:misc_RNA from 1 species